GACGACACUAAGAGCAGUCACUCAGACAGGAAGCACAUGGUGAAGUGUCUCCCGACGUCAAACAGGGCUUUUCCACGCUUCUUCGCGUGCACUCGGAACCACUUUGACAAUAUUUACUGCUGCAAAGUGGGACAAGAAGAAAGUUCAAGGUCUUUUAGCGCGCGGUCUAUGUAUAUACAUAGGCAUAGCGUGAUAUUUUCAGGAAAAUUAUAGAAAAUCGCAAAGGCGCCGUUGACUUUCAUGGCAGAAUACAUUAAUAGUGGACAGAGCGGCGAUAACGUCCCGGAGGACGGACUGACGGGACAGCAGUUGGCAAACAGAGGAGAUGGACUCACAUACAAUGACUUCCUCAUUCUGCCAGGCUACAUUGACUUCACUGCAGAUCAAGUGGACCUGACCUCGGCACUGACGAAACAAAUCACAAUGAAAACUCCCUGUGUCUCUUCCCCAAUGGACACAGUCACUGAGGCGAACAUGGCCAUUGCUAUGGCACUAACAGGUGGGAUUGGCUUUAUCCACCAUAACUGCACGCCAGAGUUCCAGGCCAAUGAAGUCCGUAAAGUCAAGAGGUACGAGCAGGGCUUCAUCACAGACCCGGUUGUGAUGAGCCCUCAUCACCUAGUGCGAGACGUCUUUGAGGCCAAGGCCCGCUACGGCUUCUGUGGUAUUCCCAUCACGGACGAUGGCAAAAUGGGUAGCAAGCUGGUUGGCAUAAUCUCUUCCAGGGACAUCGAUUUCCUCAAGGAUGAGGAACACAGUUUGCCACUCAGUGAGGUGAUGACAAAGAGGGAGGAUCUCGUGAUUGCUCCUGCUGGGGUAACAUUGAAAGAAGCCAAUGAAAUUCUCCAAAGGAGUAAGAAAGGUAAACUUCCCAUUGUUAAUGAAGAUGGCUGCCUUGUGUCCAUCAUUGCUCGAACUGAUCUGAAAAAGAACAGGGACUUCCCUUUGGCCUCCAAAGACUCCCGCAAACAGCUGCUCUGUGGGGCUGCCAUUGGCACACACAGUGAUGACAAAUACCGUCUGGACCUUCUAGUGCAGAGUGGGGUUGACGUUAUUGUGCUGGAUUCCUCUCAGGGCAACUCAUUAUUCCAAAUCAACAUGAUAAAAUACAUUAAAGAGAAGUACCCAAAUCUGCAGGUCAUUGGUGGGAAUGUGGUCACUACUGCCCAGGCUAAAAACUUGAUUGAGGCAGGAGUGGACGGACUCAGAGUUGGAAUGGGAAGCGGCUCCAUUUGCAUCACACAGGAAGUACUGGCGUGCGGCAGACCUCAAGCCACAGCAGUUUUUAAGGUGUCCGAGUACGCUCGACACUUUGGUGUGCCCGUUAUCGCUGACGGUGGCAUCCAGAACGUUGGACACAUCGUAAAAGCCCUGGCCCUCGGCGCAUCCACAGUUAUGAUGGGCUCUCUGCUUGCUGCUACCACCGAAGCUCCUGGUGAAUAUUUCUUCUCAGAUGGUAUCAGACUAAAGAAGUAUCGAGGCAUGGGCUCCCUGGAUGCCAUGGACAAAAACUUGGGGUCCCAGACAAGAUACUUCAGUGAAAGUGACAAGAUCAAAGUUGCUCAGGGCGUUUCAGGAGCUGUGCAGGACAAAGGCUCCAUCCACAAGUUUGUUCCCUACCUACUAGCUGGCAUUCAACAUUCGUGUCAGGAUAUCGGCACCAAGAGCCUCAGUCAGCUCAGGUAUACACAGAGCCAUGAUGUACAGUGGAGAGCUGAGAUUUGAAAAGAGAACUGCAUCGGCUCAAAUGGAGGGCGGCGUCCACAGUCUGCACAGUUAUGAGAAGCGUCUUUUUUGAAGAUCCUUCAGCUGGAGAUUAGCCUUCCAUGCAACCAUGCCAAACUGUCCAGGUGUUGUCAUAUUAUGCUGUUACAAAUAUGCACACAAGCAUGAGCUCAGUGCAUUUCUGUACAUCGUCUUCCAUUUUUAGCAUCUUCUAUGCAUCCUCGAGUAAUGUGUGAACUAAGCCUUAUCAGUCAGUGCACAUGUGACUGUGUCCUCUAUUGCCUUCCACGUUAAUACGUGUCUGAUGCCCAGACUUGUUUGUUUUCACAAGAAUAAAAGUUCUUAUUUUUCAAACAGUCCUUAUUUAAUUUUGUUCAGUGCAGUUUUUUUCAGUUGAAGUCUAAAGUAUCUGCAUAAAUUACUUUUAACAAUGGAUUUUUAUUUUGAUAAGGUUUUAGUCAUAUCCAAUAU